CACUCAGUAGAGGUCGGUCAAAGCCCCUCCCCCUUGUCUCAAGUCAGAUCAGUGAAUACCCUAACUGUCAUCAUAGAGCCUUUCUCCAGUAACUGAUGGAAGCAGAUGCAGAGAUCCACAGCCAAACACCAGGCCAAGCUCCAGAAGUCCAGUCGAAGAGAGAGAAGAAGGAUUCUGUGAGCAAGGGGCAUCAAGAUCAUGAUGGGGAAACCUACAGAGACAACCAAACCAAGCUACUUAGUAAGAACUCAUGAAAUAUAGACCAACACUUGUGGAGCCUGCACAGGACUGGACUAGGCCCUCUGUAUAAGCGACACAGUUGUAUAUCUUGAUCUGCUCAAGGGGCCCCCUGGCAGUAGGGUCAGGAUCCAUCUAGUAGGGUGCAUGAGCUGGCUUUUUGGAGCCCACUACCUAUGGUGGGACACCUCGACCAUCUGACUUUAAUCCCUUGCACCCACGUGGGUCAGUAGAGAGAAAGGAAUCUGGCAAGUUGUUCUCCUGCCUCCACACAGGAGCACAUGUGCACAUAGGCCUAAAACUGGCAAUAAAGUAAGACGGGAUUGACUCGAUUGGCUUACAAGAUGCAGACUGGGGAGUUUGUCAGUGGCCAUCGGCAUGUUGGAGAGACUGGGCACCUGUAGUUACUCGGUCAUUAAAGCGAUCACUGGUCUUCAGUCUACACUGGAAGGCUGCAGAAGCUGGAUUUUGAUACCAGCAAAGGAUGGCAUCAGCGGUGAUGGCAUGCCAAUAAAGACGUGCCAGAUAGCAAGAAGCAAAAGGGGAAAAAACAGCACCUUUCCUCAGGCAUCUUCAUUCCUGGACUGCCCGCUUGGGGGGAGGAAAUUCCUUCAGCCGGUCCUCCAUGGAAAUCCCUCACAGACCUGUCCAGGUGUGUAUUUCAGAGACCACUCCAGCUCCAACCAAGUGGACAGUCAAAUCAAAUCAAAUCAUACUGCGUGAUAACAAAAAAGGUACCUCACAGAGAAUAUGUGGAGAGAAUUCGGUAGUGUACUGACUGCUCCAUGAUACAAUGGAAAAGAGCCUGCAUCUGGGAGAGAAGGGGAUGGGGUGGGAUUAUGUCACUUGUCCUAACCAAACCUUCCUGACGCUGAGAUGACAAUAUAAUUCAGAAAGUUCACACUCAGUCACAUUGAGGGAAUCACACAGCCCAGUCUUGUGGGUUUUGCAUUCCUGGCUGUUUUGCCUUACUUUUCCUUGUUAGGCAUUGAUUUCACCCAGGACAGAACUGCUCAUGUGGAUCUGCUUAUCAUCCAUGGAAUUUACUUUGGAUCUAUUUAAAGGCUGAAUUUAUUUUAUGUGAAAUGCAAUAAGACACAAUUGUCAAAUACGCCUUUGUUCUAUGGCCAUCCUACUGAAAUGCAUGGUUCAUCUUGAAUGCCUCUAUAGUGGCUCGUCUUGAUUGCUCACAUGAUGGAAUCUGGAAUCAAGUAAGAGAUACAGCUCUGUGAGAGGAAAGUGUACUUCUAGAAGGUUAACUAAGCGGGGAGACCCUGACCUAGAGUGAGCAGCACCUUCCAGCACUGACCCGGAUAUUAGGAGGUCUGAGGAAAGAGCAGCACUUCCCGUGCCCUGCCUUCCCUUCUUUCCGGUAAAUGCAUCUACCCCGUUGCUGCUGCUGCUGCCAUCAGAACCCAGCUUCUUGGGCCUUCCGACGUGGACUAAGGAUCAGGGUCUCCAGAAAUCUUCAGCACCACACGGGGACUGCUGAGACAUCCAGCAAUGAAGACUGAGGAACUGCACGGUUCUCACCCUCUCCAGCCUGCAGGUUCUCCUGUAACCCAGGCUGGCCAUAAACUCAUCAUAUAGCUGAGGAUGACUAUGAACUGCUGAUACUUCUGCCUCUACCCAGCACCCGGAGUGUUGGGGUUGCAGAUUUGCACCAUUACACCUGACUCCUUAACUGAUUUCCUAGUCUCUGCUUGAGUCAGUUUGUCCUCAGUCUUCAUCUUCAGACUUUUAGCUCUUACCCACUCCUGGGGUCCCCGUCCUUCUCUGCCUGUUGUUUUACUGUCUGUUUGUCUUGACCUCAUUAGCUUUCAAGUCUCUUGACAGGAGAAAUCAGCUUUAUCUUUACAGCUGCUACAGGCUGUUUAGGGGAUGUUGAACCUACAAACUCAAGAAGAGUGUGCUGAGGACUGAGAAGAGAGCUUAGUUGGUAAGGCACCUUGCUUUGUAAGCAUGGAGACCUCAGUUCCAUCUCCAGAACCCAUGUGAAAACAGGCAGGAGUGGUGAUAUGUACUUAGAAUCCUAGUGCUUACUAGGUAAAAGUAGGUGGGUCCUGGGGCUCACUGGCCAACUGGUCCAGUAUACUUAGUAAGCUCUAGGCCAGUGAGAGACCCUGUAUUAAAUUUUAAAAGGUGGAUGGUGCCUGAGGAAUGAAACCCAAAGUUGCACUGUGGCUUCCACAAUUGCAUAUCCCACACACACACACAUGUGCCAUAUACACCUAUGUGCAUACACACCCACAUGCACAUUUACCUGUAUGUGCACCCGCACACACACACAAAGAUGUGCACACACAAAGUGUGUUGAGUUGCAGUGAAUGGAAUCUUGACCUGCCCUAGCUAGCAGGCCCUCAGCCAGCUUCAGGGUCCAGAACACAAUAGGUCCUUGUAUUCACCACUGUGCGUGCCCACUAACACACACUCAACACUUGCAAAUAUUGGGGAUACUUAGUGACUUCAUUUCGAAGAGGCUUCUCUGGCGGCUGGCCCGGUGCUGGUUAGACAGGCACUGCCUAGGAAGACCCAUCUAUCUCUUCAGUGAAUGACCAAAUUUAUUGUGCCAAAGAACAAAAGACACAGGGGCAAGUAGGUGACGCUCAGUGCUAGAAAUCACUCUCGGACAUACAGAUGAGAGAGAAGUUUGGGCACUGUGAUGGGGAACUGAAGUCUCGUCCUCCUCCUCCUCCUCCUAUCCCACUUCCUCUUCUUCCUCCUUCCCCUGUACCCAACCCCCCACGGCCACAGGGAGCUACAUUGGAAUUCAAUCCUAACCCCCAGGAAGUAGCCUCCACAGCAGGGAGGUCAGGGCCUAUUCCUAACUGGCUCCCACUUCCUCUGUGGGACCUCUCCAAAGACGCCCUGGUAGCAGGACUCUGAGGCAUUUAAUUGAAUACAAAUUGGACUGACGAGUUUCCAGGAAUUUUAGUGGAAAGUUGACUCCCCCCCCCAACCCUCAAGACUUUUCCCAAAUAAUGAGAAAAUUAUUAUUAUCGCUGCUGUUAUUAUUUGCAAAGCCCACAACCUUUAAAAAAAUAUUUCUUAAAGGAACAAGGUCGAGCAAACAACUUUCAGAACAUGCCUGAAAAUCUGCUCUUCCUUACAGUAUUGGUAAAGCUGCUGAUUCGGAAAGAAGGGGGUGGGCUUCUUGGAAGACAGGCAGAGUUGUGAGAUUUGGUGAGUAAAAAUACAGGAUGCCCAGUAGAAUCUGAGUUUCAGGUCAAUGAUGAAAAGCAUGAAGUGUGAGUGUAUCCCGCACAUGGAGUGGGAUAUACUGAUGGUUUCUUUGACAUCCAGGUUUCCCUGGUCAUCUUUUAUUUCACCAGACAGCUCAAAACCAGGAGGCAGAUCAGCAAAUAGAUUCCACCAACAAACAUUUCCUUGGAGGCCCUGGCUUUGGAAGACCCUUCACUCAGCCCAGGAUUUCCCCUGGAGUGUGAGUGGGAGGAUGAGCACUGAUGAAUGUUCUGUCCUUCCCUGCCCACUGCAGCCUGUGGCAAAUUGUGCCCCUUGAACAGCUGCAGAGGAAAGAGCCUUGCCCUGUCAGGAUGGCUUU